CAGUGACUUAGAAGUUUGCAAGCCAUGAUGGAAAUUAGAAUAUAAAUAAGAAAACAAUGUGAAUGUGAACAGAGAACAGAAAUCUGAUGCAAAUUUGGAAUAUGCAGCUGGAUUCACUGGAAUGAAUACAUGAAAACUGAAUUGUACCAGAGUAGCCAUCAAAAUGCCUGGUAUGUAUUGCACUGGUGAAACUCUGUUAGAGUCUGGCAAGAAGCCACGGACCCUCUUGUUCUCAGAGUACCCAGGCCUUUCUGAUAAGCCAAUUGGACUUUUCCUGAACAAUCACAAAAUAAUGCUUUCACACAGGAAGUUGAUAAGUUGUGUCAUUUAAAGGAAGAGAAGGACACAGAAACAAAAGCAAGAUGAUUCAAAAUGGGCACCCCAAAACAAACACAGAAGUCCCAGUGUGACCAACGAUGCUCAGGAGAGAUGCUAAUUAGAUCUUGGACUCCCCUUGAUCCAGAUGGACUGCUGUACACAAUGUGCGAGACCGUGUGUGUGUGUGCUGACACCGGGAAAGAGUCAGAGAAGGCGUUCUCGAUCACCCUGUGCAGAAAGAUCAUCUGGACAACCUAACUCACCAUUUCUGAGGACUGAACAGAAAAUCAUCUCAUAAUUUCAUAAGAAUUGUUUGUUACAUGAACAGUGUUGGGACCCAGCCCCCCCAGGGUCUCUAAGAGUUGUUUUCCAGCAUAACCACAGGUACCUCCUGUUUUCCUGACCUCAUCCCACUGGGAUCAAUAUCCUGUUGUGAACCCUUUGACCUGGGGUUUUUGUAAGUUUGUAUAUAAGGCUGUUCCACAAUAAAGAUGAGAGUCAUUCUCUCAGAAAGUGGACCAGGCGUCUUGUGGUUCAUCCAAAU
rnacentral:lncRNA from 1 species